GGCCAGGAGGUGGGGGAACCGAAGACACUGGUGUAACCUAUGUGCUCAGUCUUUCUAUAUACCAUAUCCUGGUACGCCUGCUAGUAAAAGACUACACCAGGCAAGAAGAACAGCGGAUCCUCACGUCCUGCCUAAGGACCAUGCAGAAACCCCGGACGUCCCGUCGCCUUCUCGGCUGAGAGCGCUGGAUCAGUUCGUGUUGAGAAAUAGGAGGGGAAAUGUGGAAAUGUUUAUGAAUCCUGGUUGCCACCAGAUUUGCUGCUUCUGGAUUUUCCAGAUGCCUGAGUCAACAGUUUCUACUGACUCUGAGACUCCCAGGGUUCCUCCCAGGAAGCCAAGGCUGAGUUUAGACACUGGCUGGAGCCUUUCUGGAAGUGAGUUUUCCCUGAUGGCUUCAGUGAAGGAGAAGGUCUGCCCUUGUUUCAUAUUGGCCCAGCUCAUCGUGCCAGGUUGGGAAUGCAUCAGUGAGCAGGGUCUAUGCCAUUUGUCCUAUGCUGCUUGGAGUCUGGCAAGGGAACUUACCAUCAAGUGUGGUGGAUAAGUUGGGAAGUGAUAUGAAGAAAGUCGCGUGGGCACAGGGACAGAGGGCAUAUGGAGAGUUGUGUGUGUUUGAAAUUCUCUGCUGUGAGUGGGAUUGGUGUUUGUACAGUGAUUUCACCCUACUUGCUACUAGGUAAGGAUGGGUUCAGUAAGGAGAUUCUUGAAAGGUCACUGUUAUUGGAUAAGUCUGUCUGUUUUGCUGUCCAGGAAAUUCAUAUUGUCCUAUUUGGGGUUUUAAAAUAUGUAUCCCUCAAUGAAGUUUGUGAACUCUGCAGGUAACGCCAAGAGAAAGUACUGGCAGGGUCCCAUUUUAAUUCAGUUCAAUAGACAAAAAUCAAAAUAAAUCAAAUGUGAAGGCAGCAUAUGUGGUCUAUGACUGUCUUUGGCUUCUGGGUUCUGAGCAGCCCGUCACUGUAGAGAAAAGGCUUCUGAACUAGGAAAUCGGCAUUCAUACUACAGAUGGUUCUUCAUCGUCACAGAUGUGAUCACCAAAGUUUCUUCAAAUAUUCACCCCUUUUGGGUAAUAAAUAUCUGUUCUUAUCUUCAAAAGUUAGAUUGACACAUCGGUUUUAAGAAACCACCAGUGCCCAGGGCCUGAUUCUGUAUUUGUCCUCAUGCUGCACAUGAUCAUCUUAUAAAAUUUGAAAGUGCGCUCGCUCUA